rnacentral:rRNA from 1 species
CGACCGGCGGACGGGUGAGUAACGCGUGGGUAACCUGCCUCAUACAGGGGGAUAACAGUUAGAAAUGACUGCUAAUACCGCAUAAGACCACAGCACCGCAUGGUGCAGGGGUAAAAACUCCGGUGGUAUGAGAUGGACCCGCGUCUGAUUAGGUAGUUGGUGGGGUAACGGCCUACCAAGCCGACGAUCAGUAGCCGACCUGAGAGGGUGACCGGCCACAUUGGGACUGAGACACGGCCCAA